UUGAUCCUGGCUCAGAAUGAACGCUGGCGGCGUGCCUAACACAUGCAAGUCGAGCGAGAAAGUCCCUUCGGGGAGCGAGUACAGCGGCGGACGGGUGAGUAACGCGUGGAUGAUCUACCCAAGGAUUCGGGAUAACCUUGCGAAAGCGGGGCUAAUACCGAAUGGUCUGGGCAUUUUGAAAUGUGCCUGGUAAAGGUGGCCUCUGAUUCAAGCUAUCGUCUUUGGAUGGGUCCGCGUCCCAUUAGCUUGUUGGUAGGGUCAUGGCCUACCAAGGCGACGAUGGGUAGCUGGUCUGAGAGGAUGAUCAGCCACACUGGGACUGGAACACGGCCCAGACUCCUACGGGAGGCAGCAGUGGGGAAUAUUGGGCAAUGGGCGCAAGCCUGACCCAGCAACGCCGCGUGAGGGAAGAAGGUCUUCGGAUCGUAAACCUCAGUCAGGAGGGAAGAAAUGGGUUGUCCUGAACAGGGAUGGCCUUUGACGGUACCUCCAGAGGAAGCACCGGCCAACUCCGUGCCAGCAGCCGCGGUAAUACGGAGGGUGCAAGCGUUAUUCGGAAUCACUGGGCGUAAAGCGCACGUAGGCGGCUUUGCAAGUCAGGUGUGAAAGCCCUCGGCUCAACCGAGGAAUUGCACUUGAAACUGUAGAGCUCGAGUUCGGGAGAGGGUGGCGGAAUUCCAGGUGUAGGAGUGAAAUCCGUAGAUAUCUGGAGGAACACCAGAGGCGAAGGCGGCCACCUGGACCGAAGCUGACGCUGAGGUGCGAAAGCGUGGGGAGCAAACCGGAUUAGAUACCCUGGUAGUCCACGCCGUAAACGAUGGAUGCUAGAUGCUGGGUGUGUAC
rnacentral:rRNA from 1 species